UGCCUUGGCGACCGCGUCGCGCUCGAAGCCGCAGCCUCCGCCCCCGCCGCCGCCGCCAGAGCCCACCCGGCGGGUGCAGAUUCCCUUUGUCUCCUCCGCCUCCCCUCCUCCCUGCUUCCCUGCGUCCUCCCCCUCCCGCCUUUCCUUUGUCGCCCCGGAUUCCCCGGCAGCCGCCCUUCCUGCGCUCCGCUCCCGCUGCAGGUGCCCGGGGCCGCGAGGACAGGCCUCGCCGCCACCCCCACCCGGCCUGCCCAGUGCCUGGCAUGAAACCAGUGUUUCCAAAAGCGGUGCCGGGCUGAAGCGCCGCACAGGAACUUGCUUCCCUCACCUGGGCGGCCUCGCUGGCCUCUAGCCGGCCUGUACCGCGCAUAGCAGAGCUAGGAGACAUGACAGCCGCCCCCUUUAAGGACCCAAGAGAUUCCCCACGGACCUCUUCCCCUUCCUUCCGUUUGAGAGGGAGCGGUGUCACUUGGUGAGAGGGAGGAGACGGGAGGAAAAGGAGGUGAGACUCGACGUCCAGUGCCCUCUUGGCCUGGCUUGCUCGGCCUUCCCUGCAGCGAGGCGGGGCGCACAUCCCCUACCCGGGCCGCAGAGAACCUGUCGGCCGCCGAGUUCUGCAGCUCGAUGGCAUUGCGAGGCCGAAAGCAGAAUUUCCAGGACCUCUGAGAGUUGAAGUCGUUAUUCGGGGGGAGGGGAUUCUGUGAGCAAAAUGUGCUGCUGUUAGCAUUCACGGUCACCUGGUGAUGAAGAGUGCUGGGGAUUUGGCCACAGUAAUGGCCCUAACCCAGAACCCUCUUUGUCCUGGAGCAACAUAGCAGCUCUAGUGGCAGUGGCGUCAAACAUCAGAUUGGCUCAUAUUCUAGCCGAUACCCUCUUAGUGUGUGCCAGUCUUAGUGUUGACUGAUACACCCUAAGUGGGACUGUGGUUGCUCAUGAGGAGGGAAACCGAGGCCAGGUGAUAGGGGUGGAAGGAAACACGCUUUCCCUCUAAAUGCUUUGGGACCUGUGAAUAUCAUACCAUGUGCAUUUCUUAUUCACUCUUUAAAAUCAAAUGUUUUUAAUAUCACUUCUUCAAGAAAGUGUUCACUGACUCCCCCGAGAGUAAAUAAGAUAGAUUAGGUUUCCCGUCACGAUUCCAUUGCAGUCUGUACUUUUACCGCGAGAGCUCUUCGCAGAAUUAUGAAUAAACAGUAAUGAGUGUGCAACUCAUGUUUACAAGAGUCUUCCACACCAGGCUCUGAGCUCCAUGAGGGCAGGAGCAAGACCUGGCUUAUGCAUCACUGUUCCACAAGGGCUGACACACAGGCUUUAGCCAAUGUUUGUUGACGAAAGAAAUGAGAAGGGGACAAGAAAGAGGGUGAUGGCGGAGUGGUGGACCAGGUGCUGUCCAGAGGGUGAUGACAGAGUGGCAGGCCAGGUGCUGUCCAGAGGGUGAUGGCAGAGUGGCAGGCCAGGUGCUGUCCAGAGGGUGAUGGCAGAGUGGCGGGCCAGGUGCUGUCCAGAGGGUGAUGGCAGAGUGGCGGGCCAGGUGCUGUCCAGAGGGAGAGCCGGGGUGGCAGGAGGGGUGCCCAUCUCCACAUCCUCCUCUGAGCUCUGUGACCCUUGGGGGCUCAGCCGCUCCUUCACAGGCACUUCUAGAAUGUUGUUCCAAAUCAUUCUUGUAAUUCUUCUUUCUAGUAUAUGUUUAAAAAUUGUCAUAAUAAAAAGUGUGAUAAAUCAAUUAAAUUGUAUGUAAGGGGAAUCCUAUCAUGUGCUAGGCCAGUUCCCAGGCAGCUAAUUGGAGCAUUUAUCUGAAGCAAAGCGGGGCCAGCUCUUCUUCCGGUCGUUCCCAGGGAGGGUGAUGCUUAAACGGUUUAAAGCGGUGGUGCACAGGAAAAUCACCCAGGGAGCUUUAACAACGCGACAUUCAGGGGUCCACAGGCAGACCAAUUGAAGCAGAGUCUCUGGGGUUGGAGCCUGACCACUGCUAGGGCCAGUAUUUUUCAUAAGCUUAACGUGCAAUCAAGGUUGAGAAUCUUUGCUCUAUGGGCUCCCAGAGACAGACAAGAGGAAGUGGGGACACACUCACCAAACCCAAAGAUUCCAUUUCAGCUGUAAAGCUGACACUGAUACACUUGAGGCUAGACAAAGAGGCUGUUUGCUUCAGCCCACUUCAGAUUGUUUCAGUACUGCUCAUAUGACUUCUCUUUGCCUUAAAAUGCCUCCGGAUCCCAUCCUGUGACAGUCAUUUAAAACAAAUGUGUAACUGCCUAAUCAGGGCACAAACCAUUUUUCAGAUUUGCCUGGGCAGCAGUGACCUAAAUAUUACCCAGGGUGUCUGACUUCCAGCUCCAGAGGAAGAAUGUAUUUGGUUUGAUUGUUUUCAUGCCAAUAAAGUUGGGCCAGUAAUUCAAGGUCCCCAUUGGGAUAGCUGAAUCCUUCGAUGCUAUAAAUUAGUUCUUUAGAAAGCAGUGGUGUCGUUUUUAUUGAAUUGUUCACCUUCCAAUGGAAUCACUAUGCACCCACGCUAAUUUGUUGUGCCAUUGUUAAUGGAUAUAAGAUAAAAGGAGCAGGAACUGGAGAGGAUGGUGGAAGUGGCCCAGCCCAUUUACACCAGCCAGGUAUGUGGAGUAAAUCUUGGGAAAAUGUGUCUAUUUAAUCCACUUACAAGCCAAAUGGUGUAGCAAGUAGCAGCAGAUCCAUUCUGCUCUCUCUCUCCCAGGUAACAAUGCAGGCAGUAAAUAAGGCCUGUAUUAGAAGCCACUAAAGCUGUAAACACACACAGCAGGGAAAUUUGCCUAAACUGCCCACUGAGGUAUCAGAUGCAAUUGGCCUUCUAUUGGAAGUGUGUCUGCGCUCAAGGGCAAGCCAAAUUUGGCAAGAAGCCAUGUGGAGACACUUCACAUUUAAAUCUUCUACGAGACUGGGGGCAGGGAGACAAAGGUUCCUCUGGGGCUCUCAAAUCCAAUUGGUGAUUCCAGAGAAAAUGGGGACUCUUCAUGGCAGGCAGGAAAAGGGGAAAUGUGGCCUGAGAGAACCCACACUUUCCCAGCCAGCAAGCUCCAGCCUGGAUCAAAACAACCCAUUUCUGGGAACUUAAAAUAAAAAAUAAGAGAGCAGUCAAAUGAACUUGAGACCCCCACAGGGCCUUUCAUGUGUCUACCAGCAGCAGCAUGGUGAGUGGUUUCUGUGAUGUGGGAUUCCAGGGCAAGAGGCACUGGACCAUGGCCACUGGUUCAUCUCUCAUUAUAGGCCAGAAAUAGAUGCCCCAUCCCAGGAAAAGGGAAAUAAGGCUGCAUGGAAUGUUUCAUCUGUUGGAAUAUUGUUCUGCUCUGCCUGACAAGAUUACUGAGUUCUCAGUUCUGUAGCAAUGGCAUUGAGUAAGAGUCUGAAAAUUGAUGCAUUAUGUACUCGCUUAAAAUAGCAAAUGCAGAAUAGAAAAAGCAAAGCUGCUAGGAAGUGUGCAGAACAUAUUGAUAGAAAGGCCUGCUUUGCCUCUGUCAUUACCAGCAUGAAAGUGUGUAUCGGAGCAGGGGGUAGACUUUCCAUCAGAAGCAUCUGAGCAGUGGAGGCUCUUUUACCGCAAUGAGACAAGGGUACAUUUUUUUAGCUGACAUAAGUGAGUGUAAAUCUUUCUGUUCUCAAACAGGUGGUAGAAAGUGGGCAAUUUGUUUCUUUUCAUCUCCGUGUUCUGGGCUUGGUUUAUGAGAUAGCUGCCUCUGUUUUAACUUCUUUGAAUUCCCCUCAGAACAAAAAUCCCCCACCACCUGCUACUUAAUCAAAUAUUCUUCACUGUGGAUUAUAGUUGCCUGGAUGGGAGCAAGGUUCAGUGACAGUGUGAUGGAAAAUAUCCAAAAAGAACUAUGUCGUCAGCCCCAAGAAGAAAGCAUUAUCCUUUGUCCUUAAAAAUGGGAUUUAAGGCUGGGCACAGUGGCUCACACCUGUAAUACCAACACUUUGGGAGGCUGAGGCAAGAGGAUUGCUUGAGCCUAGGAGUUUAAGACAAGCCUGGGCAACAAAGCGAGACCCUGUCUCUACAAAAAA
rnacentral:lncRNA from 1 species